rnacentral:piRNA from 1 species
UGUCUGAAACACAGUACACAUGCCCUCACC